rnacentral:rRNA from 1 species
CCUACGGGUGGCAGCAGUGAGGAAUAUUGGUCAAUGGACGAGAGUCUGAACCAGCCAAGUAGCGUGAAGGAUGACUGCCCUAUGGGUUGUAAACUUCUUUUAUAAGGGAAUAAAACGAGACACUUGUGCCUUUUUGCAUCUCCUUUAUGAAUAAGGAUCGACUAACUCCGUGACAGCGGCCGCGGUAAUUCGGAGGAUCCGAGCGUUGUCCGGAUUUAGUGGGUUUAAAGGGAGCGUAGAUGGGUUGUAAAGUCAGUUGUGAAAGUUUGCGGGUCAACCGUAAAAUUUCAAGUGAUAAUGGCAGGAUUGAGGACAGGUGAGGUAGGAGGAAUUCGGGGGGGAGCGGUGAGAU